rnacentral:rRNA from 1 species
UUAAGCGACUAAGCGUACACGGUGGAUGCCCUGGCAGUCAGAGGCGAUGAAGGGCGUGCUAAUCUGCGAUAAGCGCCGGUAAGGUGAUAUGAACCGUUAUAACCGGCGAUACCCGAAUGGGGAAACCCAGUGUGAUUCGUCACACUAUCAUUAACUGAAUCCAUAGGUUAAUGAGGCGAACCGGGGGAACUGAAACAUCUAAGUACCCCGAGGAAAAGAAAUCAACCGAGAUUCCCCCAGUAGCGGCGAGCGAACGGGGAGGAGCCCAGAGCCUGAAUCAGCAUGUGUGUUAGUGGAAGCGUCUGGAAAGGCGCGCGAUACAGGGUGACAGCCCCGUACACAAAAGCGCAUGUGCUGUGAGCUCGAUGAGUAGGGCGGGACACGUGGUAUCCUGUCUGAAUAUGGGGGGACCAUCCUCCAAGGCUAAAUACUCCUGACUGACCGAUAGUGAACCAGUACCGUGAGGGAAAGGCGAAAAGAACCCCGGCGAGGGGAGUGAAAAAGAACCUGAAACCGUGUACGUACAAGCAGUGGGAGCACCCUUCGGGGUGUGACUGCGUACCUUUUGUAUAAUGGGUCAGCGACUUAUAUUCUGUAGCAAGGUUAACCGUAUAGGGGAGCCGGAGGGAAACCGAGUCUUAAUUGGGCGUUAAGUUGCAGGGUAUAGACCCGAAACCCGGUGAUCUAGCCAUGGGCAGGUUGAAGGUUGGGUAACACUAACUGGAGGACCGAACCGACUAAUGUUGAAAAAUUAGCGGAUGACCUGUGGCUGGGGGUGAAAGGCCAAUCAAACCGGGAGAUAGCUGGUUCUCCCCGAAAGCUAUUUAGGUAGCGCCUCGUGAAUUCAUCUCCGGGGGUAGAGCACUGUUUCGGCUAGGGGGCCAUCCCGGCUUACCAACCCGAUGCAAACUGCGAAUACCGGAGAAUGUUAUCACGGGAGACACACGGCGGGUGCUAACGUCCGUCGUGAAGAGGGAAACAACCCAGACCGCCAGCUAAGGUCCCAAAGUCAUGGUUAAGUGGGAAACGAUGUGGGAAGGCCCAGACAGCCAGGAUGUUGGCUUAGAAGCAGCCAUCAUUUAAAGAAAGCGUAAUAGCUCACUGGUCGAGUCGGCCUGCGCGGAAGAUGUAACGGGGCUAAACCAUGCACCGAAGCUGCGGCAGCGAACGUAUCACCCAAGACAACUUUACGGAGUUGACGAUUGACGGAGCGAAGCGACGUCAAAGCGUUCAUUAAAGUCGAGUUGGCUUAGGGAUACGUUCGUUGGGUAGGGGAGCGUUCUGUAAGCCUGUGAAGGUGUGUCGUGAGGCAUGCUGGAGGUAUCAGAAGUGCGAAUGCUGACAUAAGUAACGAUAAAGCGGGUGAAAAGCCCGCUCGCCGGAAGACCAAGGGUUCCUGUCCAACGUUAAUCGGGGCAGGGUGAGUCGACCCCUAAGGCGAGGCCGAAAGGCGUAGUCGAUGGGAAACGGGUUAAUAUUCCCGUACUUGGUGUUACUGCGAAGGGGGGACGGAGAAGGCUAUGUUGGCCGGGCGACGGUUGUCCCGGUUUAAGCGUGUAGGUGUGUGUUCCAGGUAAAUCCGGUUCACUUUAACACUGAGGCGUGACGACGAGGCACUACGGUGCUGAAGCAACAAAUGCCCUGCUUCCAGGAAAAGCCUCUAAGCAUCAGGUAACAUCAAAUCGUACCCCAAACCGACACAGGUGGUCAGGUAGAGAAUACCAAGGCGCUUGAGAGAACUCGGGUGAAGGAACUAGGCAAAAUGGUGCCGUAACUUCGGGAGAAGGCACGCUGACACGUAGGUGAAGUGAUUUACUCAUGGAGCUGAAGUCAGUCGAAGAUACCAGCUGGCUGCAACUGUUUAUUAAAAACACAGCACUGUGCAAACACGAAAGUGGACGUAUACGGUGUGACGCCUGCCCGGUGCCGGAAGGUUAAUUGAUGGGGUCAGCGCAAGCGAAGCUCCUGAUCGAAGCCCCGGUAAACGGCGGCCGUAACUAUAACGGUCCUAAGGUAGCGAAAUUCCUUGUCGGGUAAGUUCCGACCUGCACGAAUGGCGUAAUGAUGGCCAGGCUGUCUCCACCCGAGACUCAGUGAAAUUGAACUCGCUGUGAAGAUGCAGUGUACCCGCGGCAAGACGGAAAGACCCCGUGAACCUUUACUAUAGCUUGACACUGAACAUUGAGCCUUGAUGUGUAGGAUAGGUGGGAGGCUUUGAAGUGUGGACGCCAGUCUGCAUGGAGCCGACCUUGAAAUACCACCCUUUAAUGUUUGAUGUUCUAACGUGGACCCGUUACCCGGGUUGCGGACAGUGUCUGGUGGGUAGUUUGACUGGGGCGGUCUCCUCCUAAAGAGUAACGGAGGAGCACGAAGGUUGGCUAAUCCUGGUCGGACAUCAGGAGGUUAGUGCAAUGGCAUAAGCCAGCUUGACUGCGAGCGUGACGGCGCGAGCAGGUGCGAAAGCAGGUCAUAGUGAUCCGGUGGUUCUGAAUGGAAGGGCCAUCGCUCAACGGAUAAAAGGUACUCCGGGGAUAACAGGCUGAUACCGCCCAAGAGUUCAUAUCGACGGCGGUGUUUGGCACCUCGAUGUCGGCUCAUCACAUCCUGGGGCUGAAGUAGGUCCCAAGGGUAUGGCUGUUCGCCAUUUAAAGUGGUACGCGAGCUGGGUUUAGAACGUCGUGAGACAGUUCGGUCCCUAUCUGCCGUGGGCGCUGGAGAACUGAGGGGGGCUGCUCCUAGUACGAGAGGACCGGAGUGGACGCAUCACUGGUGUUCGGGUUGUCAUGCCAAUGGCACUGCCCGGUAGCUAAAUGCGGAAGAGAUAAGUGCUGAAAGCAUCUAAGCACGAAACUUGCCCCGAGAUGAGUUCUCCCUGAGACUUAGAGUCUCCUGAAGGAACGUUGAAGACGACGACGUUGAUAGGCCGGGUGUGUAAGCGCAGCGAUGCGUUGAGCUAACCGGUACUAAUGAACCGUGAGGCUUAACCUU